rnacentral:rRNA from 1 species
GAUGAACGCUGGGCGGCGUGCCUAACACAUGCAAGUCGAACGAAGCAGUCUUCCUUCGGGGAGAUGACUGAGUGGCGGACGGGUGAGUAACGCGUGGGUAACCUGCCCUUUACAGGGGGACAACAGUCAGAAAUGACUGCUAAUACCGCAUGAGCGCACGAGGGGGCAUCCUCUCGUGUGAAAAACUGAGGUGGUAAAGGAUGGGCCCGCGUCUGAUUAGCUGGUUGGCGGGGUAACGGCCCACCAAGGCGACGAUCAGUAGCCGGUCUGAGAGGAUGAACGGCCACAUUGGAACUGAGACACGGUCCAA